rnacentral:rRNA from 1 species
CCCUUAGACGUUCUGGGCCGCACGCGCGCUACACUGACGAAUGCAACGAGCUUAUAACCUUGGCCGAAAGGUCUGGGUAAUCUCCAAAUUUCGUCGUGAUGGGGAUAGAUUAUUGCAAUUAUUAAUCUUCAACGAGGAAUGCCUAGUAAGCGCAAGUCAUCAGCUUGCGUUGAUUACGUCCCUGCCCUUUGUACACACCGCCCGUCGCUCCUACCGAUUGAAUGGUCCGGUGAAGCGCUCGGACCGCGGCCUCUUGACGGUUUUCCGUCGAUUGGCUGUGGGAAGUUCGUUAAACCUUAUCAUUUAGAGGAAGGAGAANUCGUANCA